AUGCCCCUACGGGGCGCAGCAGUGAGGAAUAUUGGUCAAUGGGCGCGAGCCUGAACCAGCCAAGUCGCGUGAGGGAAGACGGUCCUAUGGAUUGUAAACCUCUUUUGUCGGAGAGCAAGAGACGCCACGCGUGGCGUUCCGAGAGUACCCGAAGAAAAAGCAUCGGCUAACUCCGUGCCAGCAGCCGCGGUAAUACGGAGGAUGCGAGCGUUAUCCGGAUUUAUUGGGUUUAAAGGGUGCGUAGGCGGUCCGUUAAGUCAGCGGUAAAAUUGCGGGGCUCAACCCCGUCGAGCCGUUGACACUGG
rnacentral:rRNA from 1 species